AAGUGUUUGUCAACGUAAACGACAAGUUGAAAGAUCAUGAAAUGGAUGAAAUGCGUGCUCCAGCAGUAGGAUAUGAAUAUUCAAGCAACAUACAUGUCGGGCGAGGAGUUUGGAUCGCGAAAGAUACUUACACAUUAGCAAUUCACAACAUAAAAUUUUCAACGAGAAGAAAAUUUGUCCGCAAAAUUUUAAUAUCUAUUUUUGGACACGAUGUUUUGGCUGCAAGCACAAUAACUGGAAAAACCAGCAACUGAAGUAAAAACCAGAAACAACCAGAAGCCUUGGAUCCUACAAAGUUAUUAGCAGUGAAAGAUAUAUAUCGAUAUUUCUUGGAAGACGAAUUCAAAUUGGCACCUCAAAUGCCGAAAUAGAAGCAAACAAAACUAACCAAUUCGUUACAAAAAAAAUAGCUCAAUU